rnacentral:rRNA from 1 species
GACGAACGCUGGCGGCGUGCUUAACACAUGCAAGUCGAACGGAAAGGCCCUGCUUGCAGGGUACUCGAGUGGCGAACGGGUGAGUAACACGUGGGUGAUCUGCCCUGCACUUCGGGAUAAGCUUGGGAAACUGGGUCUAAUACCGGAUAGGAGCCAUCUUUAGUGUGGUGGUUGGAAAGUUUUUUCGGUGUAGGAUGAGCUCGCGGCCUAUCAGCUUGUUGGUGGGGUAAUGGCCUACCAAGGCGGCGACGGGUAGCCGGCCUGAGAGGGUGUACGGCCACAUUGGGACUGAGAUACGGCCCAGACUCCUACGGGAGGCAGCAGUGGGGAAUAUUGCACAAUGGGCGCAAGCCUGAUGCAGCGACGCCGUGUGGGGGAUGAAGGCCUUCGGGUUGUAAACUCCUUUCGCUAGGGACGAAGCUUUUUUGUGACGGUACCUAGAUAAGAAGCACCGGCUAACUACGUG